CUGUGGUUAAUAUGGCAAUAUUAUCUAUGGUACCUCUACCUUUGCGGAAUCCAAACUGUGUAUUCGAAAGGAGGUUAUGUUUUUCUACAAACCAUUCUAGUCUGUUUUUAGCUAAAUGUUCCGCAAUCUUUAAUAAAACAGAGGAUAGAACAAUGGGGCGAUAUGAUGUAGCCAAAUAUGGGGGUUUGUUGGGUUUUGGUACUGGAAUAACUUUUUGUUUUCUCCAUGAAGUGGGUAAAUUACCAGUUAUUAAAAUUUGGUUUAUUAACUUGAGGUAGUAUUGUAAAAUUUCCUCAUCAGCAUGUUGAAAGAAAGAAUAUGGAAUGCCAUCUAAUCCGGGAGAAGAAUCUUUUAAGUUUUGUACUACCCCUUUUAACUCUUCUAUUGUAAAAAGCGAAUUUAGGUCUUCAAAAUUUACAUUUUGUAAAGGAGGAGGAGGUUCAGUAGAAAUAGUGGGAGGAGCCAAAUUAUCUAGAAACUCAGAAGCUAAAGAGUCAGAUAUAGGAUGCAGCAAUGAUUGAAAAAUCAGAGUGAUGUGAUGGAAGAGGAAUGUGAUGAAAUGAUUGAUGGUGUUUGAUGAGCAUGGCUGUACCACCAUACCCAUCUGAUCUGUCUUCCCUGAGACAAGUGUAGCCAGAAAUCCUGAAAAGUGAUUCCGGCUUGAGCCAUGUCUCUUGUAAGGAAAGAACAAUAGGUGAUGAUGAUGAAGAAGUAGAUGAUAUUAACACGUCAGAAUAUAAUUUUGAAAUGGGAGGAUGUAACUUAGAAGCUUCUGAGUAGGAUAGACAAUUGUGAGCCAUUGACUCCUUAAUUGAUUUUUGGCGUUGGAAUUCUGGGCAUUUUUUAUCAGUUGCAAUGUGCGAACCGUGGCAAAUACAACAGUAAAUAGACUCCUCUUCAACUGAGCAACUAUAACCAGCAUGCCC